UAGGGAAUCUUCCACAAUGGACGAAAGUCUGAUGGGGCAACGCCGCGUGAGUGAAGAAGGGUUUCGGGCUCGUAAAACUCUGUUGUUAAAGAAGAACAUAUCUGAGAGUAACUGUUCAGGUAUUGACGGUAUUUAACCAGAAAGCCACGGCUAACUACGUGCCAG
rnacentral:rRNA from 1 species